rnacentral:rRNA from 1 species
AGUGAACGCUGGCGGUAGGCCUAACACAUGCAAGUCGAACGGCAGCACAGUAAGAGCUUGCUCUUACGGGUGGCGAGUGGCGGACGGGUGAGGAAUACAUCGGAAUCUACUUUUUCGUGGGGGAUAACGUAGGGAAACUUACGCUAAUACCGCAUACGACCUAAGGGUGAAAGCAGGGGAUCUUCGGACCUUGCGCGAUGGAAUGAGCCGAUGUCGGAUUAGCUAGUUGGCGGGGUAAAGGCCCACCAAGGGGACGAUCCGUAGCUGGAGUGAGUGGCUGAUAGCCGACAUUAGAGCUGGGACACCGACCAGACUCCUAAGAGACGGCGCAGUGGCGUAUGUUAGACAGUAGGGGGAAGCAUGGUCCAACGAGCCCGAGUCGGAGACGGAGACCUCCGGUUUGUAAAGACCGUUUGUUGGGAAAGAACAGCUUCCGGUUAAUACCCCGCUGUUCUGACGGUACCCAGAAAAUAAGCACCGGCUAACUACGUG